rnacentral:rRNA from 1 species
CAGUCGCCACGGGAAUACAGAGGGUGCGAGCGUUAAUCGGAUUUACUGGGCGUAAAGCGUGCGUAGGCGGCUUUUUAAGUCGGAUGUGAAAUCCCUGAGCUUAACUUAGGAAUUGCAUUCGAUACUGGGAAGCUAGAGUAUGGGAGAGGAUGGUAGAAUUCCAGGUGUAGCGGUGAAAUGCGUAGAUAUAGGAAGGAACACCAGUGGCGAAGGCGACUACCUGGACUGAUACUGACACUGAGGUGCGAAAGCGUGGGGAGCAAACAGGAUUAGAUACCCCGGUAGUCCCUGUCUCUUAUAA